rnacentral:rRNA from 10 species
CCUACGGGAGGCAGCAGUGGGGAAUUUUGGACAAUGGGCGAAAGCCUGAUCCAGCAAUGCCGCGUGCAGGAUGAAGGCCUUCGGGUUGUAAACUGCUUUUGUACGGAACGAAAAAGCUCCUUCUAAUACAGGGGGCCCAUGACGGUACCGUAAGAAUAAGCACCGGCUAACUACGUGCCAGCAGCCGCGGUAAUAAU